rnacentral:rRNA from 1 species
UACGGGGGGGGUAAGCGUUGUUCGGAAUUACUGGGCGUAAAGGGCUCGUAGGCGGCCAACUAAGUCAUACGUGAAAUCCCUCGGCUUAACCGGGGAACUGCAUCUGAUACUGGAUGGCUUGAGUUCGGGAGAGGGAUGCGGAAUUCCAGGUGUAGCGGUGAAAUGCGUAGAUAUCUGGAGGAACACCGGUGGCGAAGGCGGCAUCCUGGACCGACACUGACGCUGAGGAGCGAAGGCCAGGGGAGCAAACGGG